AGCCGGGCCCUGCGCAACAAUGGUUCGCGAACUCCGCCAGGUCCGGAAGGAAGCAACGGUAGCGAUUGCCAGUGUGUGAUGCAGGUCGCCCGGCUAUC
rnacentral:SRP_RNA from 1 species